rnacentral:rRNA from 1 species
GGCGAACGCUGGCGGCAUGCCUAACACAUGCAAGUCGAACGGAAACGUCGGGUUUAGGGGCCUACGGGUGAGUAACAGGGAGGAACGUGCCCUUUGGUUCGGCACAACUCAGGGAAACUUUAGCUAAUACCGGAAGAGCACUGCGGAGGAAAGAUUUAUCGCCAUUGGAGCGGCCCACGUCUGAUUAGCUAGUUGGGGAGGUAACGGUCCACCAAGGCGACGAUCAGUAGCUGGUCGGAGAGGAUGAUCAGCCACACUGGGACUGAGACCCGGCCCAGACUGCUACGGGAGGCAGCAGAGGGUAAUCCUGCGGCAGGGGCGAGAUCCUGACACAGCCCGGCCGCGAUGAUGAUCAAGGUCUUAGGAUCGGAUAAUUCUUUCAGCGAGGAUGAUAAUGACGGUACCUGCAGAAGAAGCUCCGGCUAACUUCGUG